UGCUCAUUAUUAGGUUCUUUUGCAUCAUUCGAGCUAUUAAAAAUUUAAAUAGAAAAUGGCUUUCCAAUCACAGACCAUUUCAUAUAGCGGAUAUAGAGACUGAAACAGGAUCACAUUCGCAUUGUUUCUCAAUUUAGGGAAGAUCACCUAGGAAAAGAAAGAAGAUAUCACACCUAGGUAUACCCUCUCAUGCAGAUCAAAGGAAACUAGGUGACCUGAAUUUAGGGAAGAGCAAUAGUUAGUGGAGACAAAGAGACCCAAUGCCACCACCACCAGAUCUGGCGUUUUGACAUCUGAAGCCAGUACUAGAGAUAAUAAAGAAUCAUAUUUGAGGUAGCUCAACAUAGUUGAGCUUUGGUGUUGGGGUUCCAUGGUGUUUCCUAGGGCUCGCCUCAUUGUGAGACGUGGUGAAACCUAAGGUAACAUUAGGCACCCGAAAAUUUGAGAAAAUGGCUCCAUAA